GACGAACGCUGGCGGCGUGCCUAAUACAUGCAAGUCGAGCGAAGCGGCGGAUGGGUGAGUAACGCGUGGGUAACCUGCUCUUAAGUCUGGGAUACCAGUUGGAAACAGAUGCCAAUACAGGAUAAUAAAGGAUGAACCUGCGAUGCAUUAGAUAGUUGGUAAGGUAACGGCUUACCAAGGCGAUGAUGCAUGGCCGAGUUGAGAGAGUGAUCGGCCACAUUGUGACUGAGACACGGCCCAAACUCCUACGGGAGGCAGCAGUGGGGAAUCUUGCACAAUGGACGAAAGUCUGAUGGAGCAACGCCGCGUGAGUGAAGAAGGUUUUCGGGUCGUAAAGCUCGUUUGUUGGUGAGGCGGUAAUCAACCAGAAAGUCACGGCUAACUACGUGCCAGCAGCCGCGGUAAUAC
rnacentral:rRNA from 1 species